rnacentral:misc_RNA from 1 species
UGGCUCUCGCAUCGAUGAAGAACGCAGCGAAAUGCGAUAAGUAAUGUGAAUUGCAGAUUUUCAGUGAAUCAUCGAAUCUUUGAACGCACCUUGCGCCCCUUGGUAUUCCGAGGGGCAUGCCUGUUUGAGUGUCAUUAAAUUCUCAACUCCGAUUUGAUUUGUUUCUUAUCGGAGCUUGGACUUUGGAGCGUGCUGGCGUAAGGUCGGCUCCUCUUAAAUGUAUCAGCGGAAUCUAACCUUUGGAUUCUGGACAUCGGUGUGAUAAUAAAAGUUGCGCCGUCGUUCUACUUCAAAGUCCGCUUACAAUGGUCUUUUGACAAACUCUUAUCAAAUUUGACCUCAAAUCAGGUAGGACUACCCGCUGA